rnacentral:lncRNA from 1 species
AUUUGGCCCAUACGCUUAUCCCAAGCCUUGUCAGAUGCAUCCAUCGUUCAUUUUUUCUUUUUUUUUCUUACUUAUCACGAUCUUCAGGACUGUUGAUUCAAAAAGGGGAGUGAUUUUCUUGUGACACGGGACUUUCACUUUCGCCGGAUGGCACUUUCGAACUAGAAGUCUCCAUUGAUGGAAUCAGUUAUAUAGGAGCAUGGAAUUGUUGCCUAUAUUUCUG